rnacentral:tRNA from 2 species
GCGGCAAUGGUCUAGCGGUAUGACGCGGGCCCCCCAAGCCCGCAGCCCGGGUUCGAAUCCCGGUUGCCGCA